UGGACUGUAUGGUUGGUGGCAGUUGGGCAUGAGGAGCGGUAUGUGUGUGAGACUCACACAUGCCGGAAACCCAAGGUUUCCAGGGGAAGGUUCGUCCGCCCUGGGUUAGUCGGGACCUAAGCUGAGGCCGAAAGGCGGAGGUGAUGGACAACAUGUUGAUAUUCCUGUACUACCGAUAACCGUUUGAGAGAAGGGAUGACACAGUAGGAUAAGCUAAGCACACUGUUGGUUAUGUGUGCCCAAGCAUUGAGGCAGUCAAAGUAGGUAAAUCCGCUUUGAUAAUGCUAGGAUGUGAUGGGGAGCGAUAUUUAGUAGCGAAGUAGCGGCUUGCACACUGUCAAGAAAAGUCUCUAUCGAGGUUAAAGGUACCCGUACAGCAAACCGACACAGGUGGGUGGGGAGAGUAUCCGAAGGACGAG
rnacentral:rRNA from 1 species